UACAGAGGUGGCAAGCGUUGUUCGGAAUUACUGGGCGUAAAGGGCGCGUAGGCGGCUUGGUCAGUCCCGUGUGAAAUCCCUCGGCUCAACUGAGGAACUGCACGGGAAACUGCCUGGCUUGAGUUCGGGAGAGGGAAGCGGAAUUCCAGGUGUAGCGGUGAAAUGCGUAGAUAUCUGGAGGAACACCGGUGGCGAAGGCGGCAUCCUGGACCGACACUGACACUGAGGAGCGAAAGCCAGGGGAGCAAACGGG
rnacentral:rRNA from 1 species